AAGCAAUGCAGAAAGUGAAAAGAAAAAGAGACUUAGUGCAUAUAUCAAUUUGGAUGUCUUGGAUAAGCUAUUUGAUGAUGAGAACUCUCCAAAGAUGACUAAGUUGGAGAACCAGUUGUUGUUGGUGACCAAGUGAAAAAUUCACAGCAAAGCAGCGAAGAAGAAUGCCUUUUGGAACCUAAGGGUUCUGAAGAAGAUGCACUAGAAGAAGAUAAACCAGUCUGGAACAAAGAUUACAAUACUGAAGAAGCUAAUGGAGGAGAUGACGAAUUCUAUGGCGGAGCUGAUCUUGAAUAUGAAAAUCAAGAUGAAGCAGAAUAUAAUGAAUAUAUUAUUUGGUGAUCUCAUCUUACAUUGUGAAUUGAUCUCAACAACAUUGAUUAUUAUUACUUUUUUGACAAAAAUCUCUGAAAUUACAUUCAUCAUUUUUCCCAAUCUAAUAAAUGAAAGCCUUCCACACUGUUCAAAAGAGUGCGUCUCUAUUUUGUUGUCCUCUGCAGAUAGAGUAGUAGUUUCUAAUGGACUAGUAGUUUCUAAUGUUACCAUUCGACCACACCUUUUUUUGUCUACUUACGAAACUUCAUUCUUCACUGCGACUAGACAUCCAUUCACCAGAUUUAACAUAGAUUAGAACCAUGUUGUAUUGAUAGAGAGAAGAGAUGAUUAUGUGGAUGAAGAAGAGAGAACACACAAAAAACGAAGAGAAAAAGAUCGUGGGAGAAGGAGAAAAACGUGGGAGAAAAUAUUUUAUGAGAUAUUUAGGGAAGAUUUAGUUUAGAUUUAGGAAACAUCUUUAACCGAAUAUGGAAGUUUCCAUAUUUUCCGGAUUUCCCGUAGAAUAUAUAUCCUAGCUAACUCAGAACACAAUAGAGUAGAUGUGAAACAUAUUCUUCCUUAAGCGCCACAUAAGGUAAAAGGCAGAACAUGUUAUGGCACAAAAUAUAGAUAAGGUAUAUCACUAUGUUGUGGUUAUAUGUCGUUGUCAAGCUGUAGGUAUACUGAAGACAUCUUUCUUGAUUAUAACGUUUCGAAAUAUAGCUUUGUUAGAAUAUAUAAGAAACACUAGUUUACGUUGUAUACCCAAGAUAUAUCUAUGUAUAAAACUUAGUAUCUGAUUUUUAGACUAAGUGGAUGACCAGAAUGAAUAUUCUAACUGUAGCUAAAAGAUAAAAUAAAAUAUGAUUCUACUUUUAAAAAAAAAAAAAUU